CAGCAGCCACGGUAAUACGAAGGGGGCUAGCGUUGUUCGGAAUCACUGGGCGUAAAGGGUGCGUAGGCGGAUUCUUAAGUCAGGGGUGAAAUCCCGAGGCUCAACCUCGGAACUGCCUUUGAUACUGGGGAUCUUGAGUCCGGAAGAGGUGAGUGGAACUGCGAGUGUAGAGGUGAAAUUCGUAGAUAUUCGCAAGAACACCGGUGGCGAAGGCGGCUCACUGGUCCGGAACUGACGCUGAGGCACGACAGCGUGGGGAGCAAACAGGAUUAGAUACCCCGGUAGUCCCUGUCUCUUAUAC
rnacentral:rRNA from 1 species